rnacentral:lncRNA from 1 species
ACUCCGCCAUUUUCCUCCGGAAGUGCGGCACCCAGAGGCCGUCCUGUAGCCGGGCCGGCUUGGGGCUUGGUUCUAUGUCCCUGCGGGUCGGUGCAAGGGCGAAGAGGAACCCGUGGGCCUCAGGGGAUCCCGGGGGGCCGGACCAGUGUUCCCUAGUUGUGGGAGCAGACGCGUGGGCACAUUGCGGGCGGGCAGGGCCUGAAGUGCAGGUGCGGGCAGUGGACCCUGGCGGGGGCUGGGAGGACAGGCGUGGGGUCCCGGCAGUGAAACGGGUUCUAGAGGCGCAGGAGCAGGUAGGAGAGGCCGGUGGCCCUGGGCCCGGAGUCUGCAGGCCGCGCUCCUGUCCUGCCGCUGAGGGACCCGGUUACCAACCUGCAUGACGCUCAGUUUGCCCAUCUGUCCCAGUGGUAACACACAGUUCUCGGGAGACGUUCCCCAUUCCCAGAGGAGUAGUGUGAAACGCGUGCGCCUCUAGUCUUAAACUUGGCGUUUGUAUUAGUUGGGUUUCCUGGUGUCUCUUUAGCAAGUGAAGUUUCUGGUUCCCUCCUUCACUGUGUGACCUGCCUAGUCCUCCUGGGUCGCAUUUACAGAAGUUUAUACGAGACCUAGUUUCCAGGGAAGAACUCACUGAUUCCGCGAGGGAGAUGGCUUAAUGGAUGAUGGUCGUCAGCCUUAAGGAUACUUCAGUCUUAACUGUGUGUUACAAAGUUUGAAAGGGAGGGUUCCCUAUGAAUAAGAAGCACACUUGAAAGAACAGCCAUCUGGUCUAACCUCUCACUGGUGCUUCAGAGGAGGAAAAAAGGUCACAGCUAUGUUUCCAGUGUCCUCUGGGUGUUUCCAAGAGCAACAAGAAAUGAAUAAAUCUCUGUUGAAGAGAUACCAUUUGACAUUUUAGAGAUGGCUGCAUGCAAACUCUUGAAACAUUUGAGUAAGUACAGUACACCAGGGAGACUCUUAUGACUAUUGGGAUAACACCAAGAUGUGGUAUAUGCUCCUUACUCAGGGUCCCCAUAAAUCAAACCACCAAAAA